UACCAGCUCUCCGAGUGGUAGGGAUGAUUAUUGGGCUUAAAGCGUCCGUAGCCGGCUUAGCAAGUCUCCUGUUAAAUUCAGCGACCUAAUCGUUGAGCCGCGGGAGAUACUACUAGGCUAGGAGGCGGGAGAGGUCAACGGUACUUCCGGGGUAGGGGUGAAAUCCUAUAAUCCCGGGAGGACCACCAGUGGCGAAGGCUGUUGACUAGAACGCGCUCGACGGUGAGGGACGAAAGCUGGGGGAGCGAACCGGAUUAGAUACCCGGGUAGUCCCAGCUGUAAACGAUGCGAGCUAGGUGUUGGGGUGGCUACGUGCCACUUCAGUGCCGCAGGGAAGCCAUUAAGCUCGCCGCCUGGGGAGUACGGCCGCAAGGCUGAAACUUAAGGAAUUGGCGGGGGAGCACCACAAGGCGUGAAGCUUGCGGUUC
rnacentral:rRNA from 1 species